rnacentral:SRP_RNA from 1 species
GCCAGGUAUGGUGGCUCACACCUGUAAUCCCAGCUACUCAGGAGGCUGAGAGAGGAGGCUCACUUGAGCCCAGGAAGUUGAGGUUUCAGUGAGCUGAGAUCAUGCCACUGUACUCCAGCCUGGGCAACAGAGCAAGAUCCUAUCUCUA